rnacentral:rRNA from 1 species
GAUGAACGCUGGCGGCGUGCCUAACACAUGCAAGUCGAGCGAACAGACGAGGAUCUUUCUCCUCUGACGUUAGCGGCGGACGGGUGAGUAACACGUGGAUAACCUACCUAUAAGACUGGGAUAACUUCGGGAACCCUGAUCUACUACCGGAUAACAUGUUGAACCUGAUGGUUCAUCAGUGCAAGACCUUCUUGCUGUGCCUAGUUGAUGGUUCCUCGCCGCAUUAGUUAGUUGGUAAGGUAACGGCUUACCAAGGCAACGAUGCGUAGCCGACCUGAGAGGAUGAUCGGCCACACUGGAACUGAGACACGGUCCAGACUCCUACGGGAGGCAGCAGUAGGGAAUAUUAGGCAAUGGGCGAAAGCCUGACGGAGCCACGCCGCGUGAGUGAAGAAGGUCUUCGGAUCGUAAAACUCUGUUAGUAGGGAGGAACAAAUGUGUGAGUAACUAUGCACGUCUUGACGGUACCUAAUGAAAAAGCAACGGCUAACUACGUG